CCCCUGAAAACCUCCUCAGAGCCACAGUCCCAUAAUCAACACAGCACAGACUGCUCGCGCGGGGCCGUGCACGCGCUGCACAUUGAUAAGAAAACUGCAAGAACAAGAGUUAGAUUUAGGCUAAUCUACAUUAAUGUCGCUUUUGUUACAGACAAUGAGAAGAAGGGACCCUCGCGUAGCCUACUACACAUGGACCAUCUGAAAUUGGAAAGGCUUUUUAAUAUAUAACAGUUUUUAUGCUUUAUCAACGGUGAUGUGGAGUUAAUAAGUGAGGAGUUUAUACCAAAACAAAAGGACCGCACGCGCAUUACUUUACUUUUUAAAAAUAACUCUUUAAAAUGUUGUAUUAUUUUUUUUUAUAGGCCUAUAUAAAGUCCUGUUUGACUUUUAAGACAUUUUAUGUAAUCUGAAUUACUUUUUUUAAUUAUUUGCCAUGCCUGAACAGGUAUUUUAGAUUACCGUUCUCUCAGACAGACUAAUAAUAAGAGACGUCUUUAUUGGUCUGAACCAUAAAUGAAUGAUUAAAUAAGCGCCACUGAGGAAUCCAGGAUUUUGGUGCUUCGCAUGGGAACAAACCUCUUCGCUUUAAUCCGCAAACUGCCUUUCAAAGGACUUCAAAUGGGCCACUUGCUCCUCAGAAGAGAGACUCAUUCUGCCGUGGAGGGCAAUCUGAAUGUUUGCGCACUGCGAGGAAUGUCGAGCCUGCAGAGCCGCUGAGGGACUCAAACUGCUGCUUAAUUAACCCGAUAUUUGCUCGCGACUCGGAGCCCAGUGCGGAGCGUCUGGUGCGCGUCUCUCUAAAUGCGCGCUGUCCCGUGGAGCCCCGCAGCGGCACGGCAGCAAGAUGAGAUCGCGGAUCCCGCUUCUUCUCGCGGUACUUGCGGCGGCGUGUCUGCGGUUUGGCAAUGCGGAGGCUGAUCCUCUUCCGGCCGCUGUGGUUGAGUUGGUGAAGGGUGGAUCUGUGUCUUCUAUUCAGGACUUGCAGUUUUUGCUGUUCUCUGAAUCUAUAGGUAAAUAAGCUUUCUUUACAUUAAUAAUAUAGACACUGUAGUGAGCUGUAACUAUCAAAUAAAUAUGUUUGGUGUUUUAUAGGUGUGUCACUAAUAUGAAGGGGUUUUUUUUUUGGAUAAAGGUUUAAAAUGCCUCUGACAUUCCUGGAGGCAAAUAUUACUCUUUAAUAAAUAUGUUAAUUAUGACUCUGGGCUACAGCACCCCAGUACGUAAUAUAGAUUGGCUCUUUAAUACUUUUUUACGAAACAACUUUUUGACCUUGAUCUACAGUAAGUAAGCCAGGGAUGGGUAACUUUGUUCCUAUAGGGCCACUGUCCUGCAGAAUUUAGCUCCAACUCUUAUCAAACACACCUUAACAAGCUCACCGAUGUCAUCAGGAUCAAGAGAAAGCUACAGGCAGGUGAGUUUGAUUAGGCUUAGAGCUAAACUUUGCAGGACAGUGGCCCUCCAGGCCCUCCUACCCAUCCCUGAUGUAAGCUGUCCUCAUUUAUAUAAAAAGCAUGUACAGAAGCAGAAACUCUUAUCUGCAUUAACUAAGUGAAAAAGCCUUUGAAAAUGCCCGUCCUCUUCUAGUGUUACAUUUUUAUUCCUGGGAAACAAAAACAAGUUGCCAUUUCCUACAAGGGUCUGCAUUUCAUUCAUUUC
ensembl:lncRNA